GGCGCARCCUGAUGCAGCCAUGCCGCGUGUGUGAAGAAGGCCUUACGGGUUGUAAAAGCACUUUCAGUAUAGUGAGGAAAAGGUUAGUAGUUAAUACCUGGCUAGCUGUGACGUUACGYUACAGAAGAAGCACCGGCUAACUCCGUGCCAGCAGCCGCGGUAAUACGGAGGGUGCGAGCGUUAAUCGGAAUUACUGGGCGUAAAGCGUACGCAGGCGGUUUGUUAAGCGAGAUGUGAAAGCCCCGGGCUCAACCUGGGAACUGCAUUUCGAACUGGCAAACUAGAGUAUGAUAGAGGGUGGUGGAAUUUCAGGUGUAGCGGUGAAAUGCGUAGAGAUCUGAAGGAAYACCGAUGGCGAAGGCAACYCCCUGGGUCAAUACUGACGCUCAUGUACGAAAGCGUGGGGAGCAAACGGGAUUAGAUACCCYGGUAGUCCACGCCGUAAACGAUGUCUACUAGGAGCUGGGGUCUUCGGACAACUUUUCCAAAGCUAACGCAUUAAGUAGACCGCGCUGGGGAGAG
rnacentral:rRNA from 1 species